CAAAAACAUCGCCUCUUGAAACCCUAACAUAAGAGGUCCCGCCUGCCCAGUGACUAUAAGUUUAACGGCCGCGGUAUUUUGACCGUGCAAAGGUAGCGCAAUCACUUGUCUUUUAAAUGAAGACCUGUAUGAAUGGCAUCACGAGGGCUUAACUGUCUCCUUUCUCCUGUCAAUGAAAUUGAUCUCCCCGUGCAGAAGCGGGGAUAAUAACAUAAGACGAGAAGACCCUAUGGAGCUUUAGGCUCCAGAAUAGACUAUGUAAAACACCCUAACAUAAAAGAUAAAACCUAUUAGACCCUGUUCUACAUGCCUUUGGUUGGGGCGACCGCGGGGAAACAUAUAACCCCCAUGUGGACUAGGAGCAUAACCCUCCCACAACCCAGAGUUACAACUCUAAGUAACAGAACAUCUGACCAACUAAUGAUCCGGCACAGCCGAUCAACGAACCGAGUUACCCUAGGGAUAACAGCGCAAUCCCCUUUUAGAGUCCCUAUCGACAAGGGGGUUUACGACCUCGAUGUUGGAUCAGGACAUCCUAUUGGUGCAGCCGCUAUUAAGGGUUCGUUUGUUCAACGAUUAAAGUCCUACGUGAUCUGAGUU
rnacentral:rRNA from 1 species